GGGGGUGUAGCUCAGUGGUAGAGCGUCCGCUUUGCAUGCGGAAGGUCUGGGGUUCGAUCCCCCACACUUCCA